rnacentral:lncRNA from 1 species
AGGACAGCAGGUGCAAAGGCCCGGAGGCUGCAGGGCUGGCCUAGGGACCCCAGGGUCCUCCCGCUUCCCAGAAGCAUCCCUGUGCCUGGGGACGGGGGCGGGCCACACUGAAGCCACAUCCGGCCUCACGCGGAAGAGGAGCCUGUUCUGGAUUCUUCCUCCAACACACAGGGGUCACCUUGGGCCCGGUUUGCGCUGAAGACACCCGUGGGUACAGGAAAGGAAAAUGAGAUGCUUGUCGGGAAUUUUCACCCCGUUACUUACUGACUCAGGAGAGUGAGUCUUACUAAGUCAAGUUCAGAGAGGGGUGAUUAACCUUCCCAUCCAGAGGAGGGGGUUGGAUCCGCAUUUAGCUGCAGGCUGCAGCCCCGCCCACCCUCGGGCAGGGAAUAGUUAUUGCACAGUCAGGCCCAAUGCAGUAUUCGGGGUGAGCUCUCUUGCAGCACGUGUGAAAGCCAAACUCGCCAGGGGAAUUUGUUUUGGCUGUUUCAGUAUUAAUAUUUUUAUCUAAUUUAAUGGAUUUUAAGCAUUAUAAAAACAGUCAGUGCUAACUGAGAAAAUGGAGCGAUCCAGAGACACAAAAUGAAAAUGAUUAAUCAUUUUCACCCCACCUCUCCCAUCCCUCCACUUGGGAAAUACCGUUAGCUUUGUCCUUGCCUCCCCCCAAGAUUCACAGAGGAAUGAGACCUGCCCUGCCCACCGUACCGCCCCCCCGCCCCCCCCACCGCGUGGCAGGCAGCCACCAGGAGGAGCAGGUGAUACAGCUGCUGUGCCCCCGCGGGCAGGGGCCGCACCACACGGCAUUCCGGACGGCCUGGGUCACCAAGGCGGGCGAGAAGCACUACCACCCUCUGUGUGCAUUAUGCGUCAGGUGCGGCCGGAUGUUUUCGGAAGGCGAGGAGAUGUAUCUGCAAGGUAAGAAGCGCUGCUCUGGCCCCUGGGGCCCCGCCCUGCGCUGUGCAUGCGCUGGUGUGCCCCUUGAACUAGGGAGCCCCGCCUCACAGCGGGACGGGGGACCCACUUUCCCCA